rnacentral:rRNA from 1 species
AAUCAACGCUGGCGGCGUGCCUCAGACAUGCAAGUCGAACGAUUAAAGCUCUCUUCGGAGAGUGUAUAGAGUGGCGCACGGGUGAGUAACACGUAAGUAAUCUACCUUUGAGUGGGGAAUAACCCGGGGAAACCCGAGCUAAUACCGCAUAAUGCAGCGGCACCGCAAGGUGACAGUUGUUAAAGGAGCAAUCCGCUUAAAGAGGAGCUUGCGGCAGAUUAGCUAGUGGUAAGGUAAUGGCUUACCAAGGCUUCGAUCUGUAUCCGGCCUGAGAGGGCGGUCGGACACACUGACACUGAAUAACGGGUCAGACUCCUACGGGAGGCAGCAGUCGGGAAUUUUGGGCAAUGGGCGAAAGCCUGACCCAGCAACGCCGCGUGAAGGAUGAAGUAUUUCGGUAUGUAAACUCCGAAAGAAUGGGAAGAAUCAAUGACGGUACCAUUUAUAAGGUCCGGCUAACUACGUGCCAGCAGCCGCAGUAAU